AAAGCUGCUUGGUAAAAUAAGCUGCUGUUUGCCUUGGGCUCAGCUACCAAAGACGCUUGUCUCAGGGGUAUCCCCAUGCUGAACCCCUGAUCUACAGUCUGAGGAACAAAGCUAUGAAGGAUGGUGCCCGGAAGGUGAGGAGUCACCUCACACAGUGAUGCUGAACUUGCCUGUGUCCACGGGGAUUUGGUCAACUCCAUCAAAGAGACCCAGUGUGGACACUGGAUAAGGGAAUGAGGAGCAGCACACAGAGAGAGACAGAGUGGCAGACUCUUCAGUAAGGCCACUGUGGGAGUGGGGCUGGCUCUGGUCCCCCUGAGAUCGCUCACUCAAACUGGGGGUCGCAGUGGGGGCCGAGGGGGUAAGCAGCAGGCAGAACUUCUCACAGUUGGGAAGGUGCUUGGAGAAUAU
rnacentral:lncRNA from 1 species